GCUAGGCUGACACCACGGCACUCUAGCCCGGGUGGCAGAGUGAGACUCUGUCUCAAAAAAAAAAAAGAGAGAGAUAACUAAGACGUGGUUUGACCUCUGCCCCCUGCAGGGAGCUGACAGUCCACAAAGAAAGCCGAUCAGUGUGAUCAGUGCGCGGCGUAAGAAGAGUGGACGGGAUACAGCAAGAGGUGACAACGCAGAGGCGACAUUGAAAAAUUACAGCAAGAGGUGACAACGCAGACGGCGACGUUGAAAAUUACUGACUAGACUGCAUGCAUGGAAACGGUCGACCGAUUGAGGUGGGAGGUGGAGGAAGUGGAGGCUAUGAAAAUUACUUCCAGGUUUUUCGAAGCGAGCAAUAACUGACUAAGAUAGUGACUGCAAAAGAAAUAGUUUGCUGGUGAACAUGCUGAGAGUAGUUUUGGACACAAUUUAAUCUGGACACUUUAA